CGGCGGACGGGUGAGUAACACGUGGGUAACCUACCUAUAAGACUUGGGAUAACUUCGGGAAACCGGAGCUAAUACCGGAUAAUAUUUCGAACCGCAUGGUUCGAUAGUGAAAGAUGGUUUUGCUAUCACUUAUAGAUGGACCUGCGCCGUAUUAGCUAGCUGGUAAGGUAACGGCUUACCAAGGCGACGACACGUAGCCGACCUGAGAGGGUGAUCGGCCACACUGGAACUGAGACACGGUCCAGACUCCUACGGGAGGCAGCAGAG
rnacentral:rRNA from 1 species